AGAGUUUGUCUGGCUCAGAUUGAACGCUGGCGGCAGGCCUAACACAUGCAAGUCGAGCGGAAACGACAUUAACAAUCCUUCGGGUGCGUUAAUGGGCGUCGAGCGGCGGACGGGUGAGUAAUGCCUAGGAAAUUGCCUUGAUGUGGGGGAUAACCAUUGGAAACGAUGGCUAAUACCGCAUAAUGCCUACGGGCCAAAGAGGGGGAUCUUCGGACCUCUCGCGUCAAGAUAUGCCUAGGUGGGAUUAGCUAGUUGGUGAGGUAAUGGCUCACCAAGGCGACGAUCCCUAGCUGGUCUGAGAGGAUGAUCAGCCACACUGGAACUGAGACACGGUCCAGACUCCUACGGGAGGCAGCAGUGGGGAAUAUUGCACAAUGGGCGAAAGCCUGAUGCAGCCAUGCCGCGUGUAUGAAGAAGGCCUUCGGGUUGUAAAGUACUUUCAGUUGUGAGGAAGGGGGUAACGUUAAUAGCGUUAUCUCUUGACGUUAGCAACAGAAGAAGCACCGGCUAACUCCGUGCCAGC
rnacentral:rRNA from 1 species